ACCCUUCUACGGUGUGACGUUAAUAAGAAGCGACGGUGAGCAGGCCGACGACAUCAAUACAACAAAAAUAGGACGGGGGAGGAAAUAAGGUUUUGUUGUUUUUGGUUAAAUAAAUCCGGUUGAUUCAACGCAAUGCCGAAAGUGAAAAGGAGCAGGAAACCACCGCCGGAUGGCUGGGAGUUGAUUGAACCGACAUUGGACGAAUUAGACCAAAAAAUGAGAGAAGCCGAGACGGAGCCUCACGAGGGAAAGAGGAAGGUGGAGUCCCUGUGGCCGAUAUUCAGACUGCAUCAUCAGAGGAGCAGAUAUAUCUUCGACUUGUUCUACAAGAGGAAGGCCAUCAGCAGAGGUAGAUGUUAUAGAAGAGGAAGGCCGUCAGCAGAGGUAGAUGUUAUAGAAGAGGAAGGCCGUCAGCAGAGGUAGAUGUUAUAGAAGAGGAAGGCCGUCAGCAGAGGUAGAUGUUAUAGAAGAGGAAGGCCGUCAGCAGAGGUAGAUGUUAUAUAAGAGGAAGGCCGUCAGCAGAGGUAGAUGUUAUAUAAGAGGAAGGCCGUCAGCAGAGGUAGAUGUUAUAGAAGAGGAAGGCCGUCAGCAGAGGUAGAUGUUAUAUAAGAGGAAGGCCGUCAGCAGAGGUAGAUGUUAUAGAAGAGGAAGGCCGUCAGCAGAGGUAGAUGUUAUAGAAGAGGAAGGCCGUCAGCAGAGGUAGAUGUUAUAUAAGAGGAAGGCCGUCAGCAGAGGUAGAUGUUAUAUAAGAGGAAGGCAGUCAGCAGAGGUAGAUGUUAUAGAAGAGGAAGGCAGUCAGCAGAGGUAGAUGUUAUAUAAGAGGAAGGCCGUCAGCAGAGGUAGAUGUUAUAGAAGAGGAAGGCCGUCAGCAGAGGUAGAUGUUAUAGAAGAGGAAGGCCGUCAGCAGAGGUAGAUGUUAUAGAAGAGGAAGGCCGUCAGCAGAGGUAGAUGUUAUAGAAGAGGAAGGCCGUCAGCAGAGGUAGAUGUUAUAUAAGAGGAAGGCCGUCAGCAGAGGUAGAUGUUAUAGAAGAGGAAGGCCGUCAGCAGAGGUAGAUGUUAUAGAAGAGGAAGGCCGUCAGCAGAGGUAGAUGU